AGAUUGAACGCUGGCGGCAUGCCUUACACAUGCAAGUCGAACGGCAGCGCGGGAGCAAUCCUGGCGGCGAGUGGCGAACGGGUGAGUAAUAUAUCGGAACGUGCCCUGUAGCGGGGGAUAACCUAUCGAAAGAUGGACUAAUACCGCAUACGCUCUACGGAGGAAAGCGGGGGUUCUUGGGCAACUGAGGACCUCGCACUAUAGGAGCGGCCGAUAUCGGAUUAGCUAGUUGGCGGGGUAAAAGCCCACCAAGGCGACGAUCCGUAGCUGGUCUGAGAGGAUGAUCAGCCACACUGGAACUGAGACACGGUCCAGACUCCUACGGGAGGCAGCAGUGGGAAUUUUGGACAAUGGCGCAAGCCUGAUCCAGCCAUGCCGCGUGAGUGAAGAAGGCCUUCGGGUUGUAAAGCUCUUCGGCAGGACGAAAUGGUUCGUGCUAAUACCACGGACUGAUGACGGUACCUAGAAGAAGAAGCGACCGGCUAA
rnacentral:rRNA from 1 species